UACGAAGGGGGCUAGCGUUGCUCGGAAUCACUGGGCGUAAAGGGUGCGUAGGCGGGUCUUUAAGUCAGAGGUGAAAUCCUGGAGCUCAACUCCCAGAACUGCCUUCGAUACUGGCGAUCUUGAGUCCGGAAGAGGUGAGUGGAACUCCUAGUGUAGAGGUGGAAUUCGUAGAUAUUAGGAAGAGCACCAGUGGCGAAGGCGGCUCACUGGUCCGGUACUGACGCUGAGGUGCGAAAGCGUGGGGAGCAAACAGG
rnacentral:rRNA from 1 species